GGGUGCGAUCAUACCAGCAUUAAUGCACUGGAUCACAUUUGAACUCCGCAGUUAAACGUGCUUGGUCGAGAGUGGUACUAGGAUGGGUGACCUCCCGGAAAGUCCUCGUGUUUCACCAU
rnacentral:rRNA from 1 species